CUGGUUGAUCCUGCCAGUAGUCAUAUGAAAGUCUCAAAGAUUAAGCCAUGCAUGUCUAAGUAUAAGCAAUUUAUACAGUGAAACUGCGAAUGGCUCAUUAAAUCAGUUAUCGUUUAUUUGAUAGUACCUUACUACUUGGAUAACCGUGGUAAUUCUAGAGCUAAUACAUGCUUAAAAUCCCGACUGUUUGGAAGGGAUGUAUUUAUUAGAUAAAAAAUCAAUGUCUUCGGACUCUUUGAUGAUUCAUAAUAACUUUUCGAAUCGCAUGGCCUUGUGCUGGCGAUGGUUCAUUCAAAUUUCUGCCCUAUCAACUUUCGAUGGUAGGAUAGUGGCCUACCAUGGUUUCAACGGGUAACGGGGAAUAAGGGUUCGAUUCCGGAGAGGGAGCCUGAGAAACGGCUACCACAUCCAAGGAAGGCAGCAGGCGCGCAAAUUACCCAAUCCCGACACGGGGAGGUAGUGACAAUAAAUAACGAUACAGGGCCCUUUCGGGUCUUGUAAUUGGAAUGAGUACAAUGUAAAUACCUUAACGAGGAACAAUUGGAGGGCAAGUCUGGU
rnacentral:rRNA from 1 species